rnacentral:rRNA from 1 species
GACGAACGCUGGCGGCGUGCCUAAUACAUGCAAGUCGAACGAACUCUGGUAUUGAUUGGUGCUUGCAUCAUGAUUUACAUUUGAGUGAGUGGCGAACUGGUGAGUAGCACGUGGGAAACCUGCCCAGAAGCGGGGGAUAACACCUGGAAACAGAUGCUAAUACCGCAUAACAACUUGGACCGCAUGGUCCGAGUUUGAAAGAUGGCUUCGGCUAUCACUUUUGGAUGGUCCCGCGGCGUAUUAGCUAGAUGGUGGGGUAACGGCUCACCAUGGCAAUGAUACGUAGCCGACCUGAGAGGGUAAUCGGCCACAUUGGGACUGAGACACGGCCCAAACUCCUACGGGAGGCAGCAGUAGGGAAUCUUCCACAAUGGACGAAAGUCUGAUGGAGCAACGCCGCGUGAGUGAAGAAGGGUUUCGGCUCGUAAAACUCUGUUGUUAAAGAAGAACAUAUCUGAGAGUAACUGUUCAGGUAUUGACGGUAUUUAACCAGAAAGCCACGGCUAACUACGUGCCAGCAGCCGCGGUAAUACGUAGGUGGCAAGCGUUGUCCGGAUUUAUUGGGCGUAAAGCGAGCGCAGGCGGUUUUUUAAGUCUGAUGUGAAAGCCUUCGGCUCAACCGAAGAAGUGCAUCGGAAACUGGGAAACUUGAGUGCAGAAGAGGACAGUGGAACUCCAUGUGUAGCGGUGAAAUGCGUAGAUAUAUGGAAGAACACCAGUGGCGAAGGCGGCUGUCUGGUCUGUAACUGACGCUGAGGCUCGAAAGUAUGGGUAGCAAACAGGAUUAGAUACCCUGGUAGUCCAUACCGUAAACGAUGAAUGCUAAGUGUUGGAGGGUUUCCGCCCUUCAGUGCUGCAGCUAACGCAUUAAGCAUUCCGCCUGGGGAGUACGGCCGCAAGGCUGAAACUCAAAGGAAUUGACGGGGGCCCGCACAAGCGGUGGAGCAUGUGGUUUAAUUCGAAGCUACGCGAAGAACCUUACCAGGUCUUGACAUACUAUGCAAAUCUAAGAGAUUAGACGUUCCCUUCGGGGACAUGGAUACAGGUGGUGCAUGGUUGUCGUCAGCUCGUGUCGUGAGAUGUUGGGUUAAGUCCCGCAACGAGCGCAACCCUUAUUAUCAGUUGCCAGCAUUAAGUUGGGCACUCCGGUGAGACUGCCGGUGACAAACCGGAGGAAGGUGGGGAUGACGUCAAAUCAUCAUGCCCCUUAUGACCUGGGCUACACACGUGCUACAAUGGAUGGUACAACGAGUUGCGAACUCGCGAGAGUAAGCUAAUCUCUUAAAGCCAUUCUCAGUUCGGAUUGUAGGCUGCAACUCGCCUACAUGAAGUCGGAAUCGCUAGUAAUCGCGGAUCAGCAUGCCGCGGUGAAUACGUUCCCGGGCCUUGUACACACCGCCCGUCACACCAUGAGAGUUUGUAACACCCAAAGUCGGUGGGGUAACCUUUUAGGAACCAGCCGCCUAAGGUGGGACAGAUGAUUAGGGUGAAG